rnacentral:rRNA from 1 species
AACGACUCUCGACAACGGAUAUCUCGGCUCUCGCAUCGAUGAAGAACGUAGCGAAAUGCGAUACUUGGUGUGAAUUGCAGAAUCCCGUGAACCAUCGAGUCUUUGAACGCAAGUUGCGCCCGAAGCCAUCAGGUUGAGGGCACGUCUGCCUGGGCGUCACACG